UGAUAGACUCGUUCAAAUUUUGGUCCCUCUAGUAUUUUAUUAUUUCCACUUUAUUUUUUUAAAGUCUCUCACAAAUAGCCUAACCAACACGCUUCUAGAUUAAUUUGUACAAACUUGUUGCACGUAAUUGUUGUCUUAAUUCUUUAAAUAUGAAACAGCUCCUAAUAUCUUCUUGCAUAUUCUUCUCUUCCUAUUGUCAUUCUUUUGUUUUGUGUGUGUGUGUGUGAGUUUUUUUUUUUUUAAUAUAAACAAAGUUUCUUCUUAUUUGAUACACACUCCUCUUCACCCUUAACACAAAACUAGCUUUGAGAUUGCAAAGAAGAAAAACAAAAAUCUUUUUUAAUUCGUUUCUUUAUUUUUAUGAUUCUUUAGGCAAGUUUUGUUUUUUUUGGCUCGUUACACACGGAAUAAAUAACAUGGGUUUAUUUACUUGUCUUUCUGUUUUGUUUAUGAUUUCUUUUUCUUUUUUGAUUUUUGAUGAUUUUUUUUGCAUCGCUUGUUUAUGUCAGAUUGUCAGUGGCUAGCUUGAUCCAUUACUUUUGGCUAAUUUUUUGAGGUUUUAGUUUAAUUGUUUGAUUUUUAUUUUAUUGUAUUAUUUUAAUCGAUUGUUUGUUCUUAACACUAUCAUAUAUUAUAGAAUAUUUGAUUUUAAUCUAUUCAGGCAUUCAUACAAAAAAAAAAAAAUCAAUUCAUACUUUUGAAUUUUGAUUUAAACUUACAAGGAUUAACCAAUCAAGCUCUAAAUUUUCAAUACAUCAACUUUUUGAUUUUAUUAUUAACAAUACCAUAAAACAUUCGGGUUGGAGACUUGGAGGCUUGGAGCUUGAAGGAGCUUAGAGUAGUAACAGCAAUAGAUCCAGUUACGAAGCAACAGAUCCGGUCAGCAGUAACUGUGGGUUGCGUAGGGUAUCGAUGAUUCCUUCGUCUAUGUCUCAACGUUUGCAUCAGUUUGGUGAGUGCUGCCGCCAGCUACCACUGCAUGUAUGAAGUGCUACUACUGCUGUGUUUGUUUUGUGUGUGUGUGUGUGUGUUGUGUUGCGGCUGCCGAUGUUUGUAAAUUUGUGUUGUUGAGUGUCGACUUGUUGUAAUGUUCAUUCAAUUAGAAAAGAAUUAUUAUUAUUAUUAUUAUUAUAAUAAGAGACCAAUCCAAUCAGAUUUUCAGAUUGGAUCGGGUUCAAUCAAUCUGAUCAUGAUCCGAUCAAGUUGGUUAAAUUAUCAUCUGACUGGAUUAGGACAAUAAUCUUAUCCAAUCCUAAACUAAAUUUUUUUUAUCAGAUCGGGGUUAGGUUGGAUCAGGUCGGAUUAUUUGUCUACCCCUAGCUGUCACUUUUGGAGAAAAAAAAUGGUUUUAACUAAGGGUGGGCGUUCGGAUCAGGUUGACCCGAUCUGAAUUGAACCCGAAAAUAAUAAUAAUAGUAGUGUGUAUCACGUGUUAUGAAUUGUAAAGCAAUAUUCCUUAGUGAUAAAAAUAUAUUGUGUGAUGUAAUAUAAAAUAGUAGUAAGUCAUAAAGUAAGAUUCUUUAAGAAUAAGAUGUAAUGAUAUAAACAGUGAAAGGAGAUUCCCUUGGUGCUUAUAAAAAGGGUUGUACCUUACAUUAAAUGUAAUGUAACAGCUCCCUUCUAACAUUGAGCAAUCGACAGAACUGUCUGAUGCACCUUGAAAUAUCUUCUCACAUACAUAUGACGGUUCACUUUGGCUGCUCUGAGGUGCUCCAACAUAGCUAUUAAUAAAUAAACAAAUAACCAAUGCAUGCCCCCCAAAUUAAUUUUGUUUUUCUAAAAAUUUCCAAGUUUUGAUUAAUUUUCUCUCUUUAUUUUUCACCAAUAGAAACUUGGAUUAAAACAUAAUCAUGUUUAGUUUGAUUCUGAUUAAAAUAAUCUUAAUUUAGCCACUCA
rnacentral:lncRNA from 1 species